UAUUAAAUCUUUGCACUUUUGUGUUCUUGCAUCAGAAGGACCGUGAUUUCCCUGUAUCCUUUUAAUUGCUUGUAACCUUCAUUCCUUGGGUUUUGUGUACACUUCAAUCUUGAGAUCAAGGACUUCUUCAAGGAACCCUAUGAAUGGUAUUUAGAAACUAAGAGCUGGAGAAUACAAUUUUUAAAAAAUGUGACUUCACAAACAUCUGCUGCAUAACCAGCCAGGGCUGGCCAGUGUUCUGAUGACUCUUCUAGCUGCCAAAAGUGUCCUAUGCAUGGGAGUAAUGGCUGGCUCAGAAACUGGAAUGGAUCAAAAAGAGGGCAGAGGACAGCAGGGGAACGUGAGAGAGGAAAAGAUGCCAAGUGUCCUCAGAAUCACCUGCAUAGGUCCAUUUGCUUUGUAGCUGUGUUGACUUGGAUCACUAGUACACAGUGGAAAGUAGCAGUGAUGGUUGACACUGAGUUUGACAGAGGUUUUUGGAAGAGGAUAAAUUAUAUUUAGUACAUAAAUAAAACCUACAAAACACCAUGUUACUUUUUUUCUGGAGUCUCUUCACAAAUGAUCCAUCUCCAAUCUCCAACAUUUUGGGAAUUAUGGUCUCAAUGUAUGAAUUUUAGAAGGACACAGGAAAUCCAUUGUAGUGUAACAAUAAAAUCAAGGACUUCAUGAACCAAAAUCUUGAAGGUUAGAAAUGCUAAUCCAAUAGCAGAAGAAAUACUACAGAGCCACAUCGUGCAGAAGAAAACAUAAUGGACAAAAAGGGGCAUCACAGCAAUACAAAUCAACAGCAAAGAAUAGUAACUGUCUGCAAGCUAAAGAGAGCAACCUUGUUGAUACCUCAAUUUUGGAUGUUCAACAUCUAAACCUGAGAGAAAAUAUUUCCUUUGUAAGCUACACAUCAUGUGAUAUUUUGUUAUGGGAGCCUUGAAAACUAAUAUAGUCUCUAAAGCAGCAAGAAAUCUCCAAAUUUAUAGCUGAUUAAUUAGAAAAAUGUUCAAAGAGAGUUGCCUAGAUUGUUUCCUUGUUUGUUUUAACUGUACUCUGGGCUGAGCAUAGCCAGUCUGAUGGCCUUGCUGUGGAUCUGCUGAUGAGAAUCAGGUGUGCCCCUUUAAAACAACUAAUAGUAACAUUCUUUCUUGGUGGACAGAAAGUUUUACCCUAUUUCAGAGAAUAGAGAGACAUGCACAUUCACUGAGUGUGAAAGGAGGAAAAUUAUGACGUACACAGAGCACAAACAGAAGACAAAAAUCAUUCCAACUUUGAGGAGUCCUUUUGGAAAAUGAGGGAGAAGAGCAGAGCACAUGGUUUUGAUACAAAGAAUGACAGCGGUUCAGUCAUUUUGCCUUCUCAGUCCCCUCUUGUUUUCUACCAUGCCAAUCAUAUCUAUUUAAAGAGAGUAAUAAAGGAUUUUAGGGUUGCUUUUGUUUGUUUUGCCUUAGAUUUUUGCUGCUCUAACGGAUUCCUCAUCUUUUUAAGAAACAGACAGCUCCUCUGGGAAAGGACAGAGGCAUUAGUCAGGAUGUGUAUCUCUCUGUCCCAAUUUAGGGUUACAGUGCUCAGGAGGCCGACACACUGGAGAAUGAGAAUGUGACUCAUAAUUCUACAUAGGUUCUUGCUGUCAACGCUGCCAUCUUGAAAUCUCACCUGGCCCUCUUAUUGCAAACUACAUGAUAACAAAAGAAAUUUGUGCUAACAACGGGACAGCACAUGCCUUGGCUUCUGGUGGAUUUCUUAAAUGACAAUGAAGUGAGCAGCCUCCUCCGACAUGUGCUCCUGACUCAGUAGUAGUCUUGCCUUGCCUCAGGCUCAAAGCAGUGCAGCCCAACAUCCACGGACUAAAACUUCUGAACCUGAAAAAACUGCAUCUCCUAUUCAACCUUCUGAAGCAAAGCUGCUGGAUAAGUGGGUCCCUCAACUGACGGAAGAAACCAAAUGGCUGGGCCUGCUUCACUGAACAUUCAGUUAGACUGAUACCUGGUGUGGCUCAGAGACUUUGGCAGUGUUAAAACAGAACGUGAUCAGGAAUGACUGUAGAUCUGGUCACUCUAUUCCAUGGGUAGAACUCAUGACCGUUCUUCUAGUUCUUGUGUUUCCUCUUGUGGACUACCUUGAUAGAGUUCAGUUGAUUCCUGGCCCACUGAAAAUGGUUUCAGCUGAUUGUUUUGCACUUAGAAACCAAAUAGGAAAUUAUAUACAUAACAUUUGUGUUCCCAAACUAUGGAAGAGAUCAUGCCUUUUGGUUGAACAUGUUCUGCCACCAUAUAGUUACUUAGAUUAAUAACAUAUGUUUUAAUGAGUCAAAAUAAAAUCAUGCUGGUGAAUAAGCUUGCAUGGCCAACAUUUUCUCCAAUGCUAUCUGAUACAUCAUUAUGCUAUAUAUAGCAACAUACUGUUAUGAUAAAUUGGACACAAGGUAAUGAAAUCUGUAUUUUGAAUACAAAGGCUAUUGGGUCAUACCAGAAAGGAAGUUGCCAGAGUUCUGUUAUAAAUCCUACAGGAAAAGGGUAACAUGAUAUAAGACUUAAAAUAUAGAUUCAAUCCAUGACACUUUCCACUUUUUUUUUCUUUUCAUUAAGUUUA